CCCAUCUGCACUGGCUUGCUGUUCUUCAUACCUGUUUGUCAUACGCAACCCUUGCUGACCAGGUUAGCAGUCCCAUUGGAGCAGGCAUCGCACACUGUCUUAGCCUGUUGUUGCUGUUGUCCAGUCGUGUUAACUAAGUCAUGCCUGACUCUUUGCGACCCCAAGGGCUGCAGCUCACCAGGCUCCCCUGUCCUUCACUACCCCCGGAGUUUGCUCAAACUCACGGUCCACUGAGUCAGUGAUGUUAUUUAACCAUCUCAUCCUCUGCCACCCCCCUUCUCCUCCUGCCCUCAAUCUUUCCCAGCAUCGAGGUCUGGGUCCUGGUUCUUCCCAUCAGGUGGCCAAAGUAUUGGAGCUUCAGCUUCAGCAUCAGUCCUUCCAAUGAAUAUUCAGGGUUAAUUUCCUUUAGGAUGGACUGGUUUGAUCUCCUUGCUGUAUUAGCCUGAUCCAUCCUCAACCUCCACAGCGUCGGGCAUGGGGCCGUGUACACAGUAGGACCCCACGGGCUCCAGAACUUCAGCUCGAAAGGACACCUGCUCUGCCAGCCUAACACUGUGUGUGUGAACAAAAAGGAUAAUGCAGUUCUUGCCCUUGAAAGGGUCACAGUUUAGCAAGGGAGGAUCUCAAGUCAUCCUGUGACAAUCUAACAGUCCCACGCUCCCAAGCCCACGCGUUCCUACCUGACAUCUCUCUCACCCCCACAGUCCUGUGUGCACACACACGUCCCCUUGGCUCCCUGGGCUCACAGGCAGCUCUGGCCCUGGCCUGUCUGGAAAUGUGGGCUUUGGCCUGAACUCUGCGUGGAGCACAGAGGUUUCAAAAUAGAGUGAGAAGCUCUUUGGUCCUGGGCCGGCCCCGUGGGUCCGCUUCCCCACCCCGUCCGUUUUUAUCAGACCCUCCUGAUGGCAGGUCUGUGAAAUCUCUCCUGGAGGGGGACUGUGGGUCCCUGGACUGACCUUGUCCUGAUGUGUUUGAUCAGCUGUUUCUGGCCUGCGCUGGGGGAACCGGUGCACGCAGAGCCGGCAGGAGUGGUGUUUGAUCAGAGCAGCUGGGGAGCUCCGGGCUGGGCGAGCUGCUGUCAGCCUUCUGCCCGGUUCUUCUCGGAGGACAGAGAGAGGAGGAUGUCCUGAUGGACCCGCCCAUAGGCGUGUGGGAAAUACAAGUGUCCAGUGGACGUGGGACCAACGCUCUGGUAGCACCGGGUGGCAGAGCAGAAGGCAGGACAGACGCACGAGAAAGGCCUGGCGAGCAUUCACAGGAAGCUGGGCUCGCCCCCCGCACCAACCCCCCCAGCCGUGUCCUAGAUCCUCUCUUCUCGGUAAAACCGUGAGUCCUGGAGUGCUUCCCAACAAGGGUCUAGGACAAGGCACGUGGAGCUGUAAGUUCUUUCUGUUUUACCCAAACACGUGCCUGAGUACCAGCUCGUGCAAGGGAAGAUGAACAAUGAAUCUGAG
rnacentral:lncRNA from 1 species